rnacentral:rRNA from 1 species
UACGAACCGUCCAAACGUUACUCGGAAUCACUGGGCUUAAAGGGUGCGUAGGCUGCGCGGAGGGUGGGAUGUGAAAUCCCCCGGCUCAACCAGGGAAUAGCGUCCCAAACUGCCGUGCUCGAGGGAGACAGAGGUGAGCGGAACUGAUGGUGGAGCGGUGAAAUGCGUUGAUAUCAUCAGGAACACCAGUGGCGAAGGCGGCUCACUGGGUCUUUCCUAACGCUGAGGCACGAAAGCUAGGGGAG